GUACGUCCUCCUCUCUUUCACACAGUCGUGUCUCUCCGUCACGUAGCGCUUUCCGUUGGUCCUCAGGUUCUCCUGCAGUUCCUCGUCACCCAGCAGUCUCUUGGACAGAAGCACAAACUCCUACAGAAGGACAGGAGAUGGUGAUCCUGGGGGGAAGGAGGAAAGUUCCUCGAGCCCUGAUGCUAGCUGUAGGAUCAUAAAUCUCUCUCUCAGUGGGAAAGUCACAUUUCUGUCCUUAUAAUAAUCCUCUAAUGUUACUGAUGUAAUGUAUUACAUCCUAUUACUGUUAUAUACUCACUCUAUUCACACUGUACACAGCGGACCUGUGUGAGUGUGUGUGUGUGUGUGUGUGUGUGUGUGUGUGUGUGAGAGAGAGAGAGAGAGUGUGAGUGUGUGAGUGUGUGU